UGGGGAAUUUUGGACAAUGGGGGAAACCCUGAUCCAGCCAUCCCGCGUGUGCGAUGAAGGCCUUCGGGUUGUAAAGCACUUUUGGCAGGAAAGAAACGUCAUGGGUUAAUACCCCGUGAAACUGACGGUACCUGCAGAAUAAGCACCGGCUAACUACGUGCCAGCAGCCGCGGUAAUACGUAGGGUGCAAGCGUUAAUCGGAAUUACUGGGCGUAAAGCGUGCGCAGGCGGUUCGGAAAGAAAGAUGUGAAAUCCCAGAGCUCAACUUUGGAACUGAAUUUUUAACUACCGGGCUAGAGGGUGUAAGAGGGAGGUGGAAUUCCGCGUGUAGCAGUGAAAUGCGUAGAUAUGCGGAGGAACACAGAUGGCGAAGGCAGCCUCCUGGGAUAACACUGACGCUCAUGCACGAAAGCGUGGGGAGCAAACAGG
rnacentral:rRNA from 1 species